rnacentral:rRNA from 1 species
UACGUAGGUGGCAAGCGUUGUCCGGAAUUAUUGGGCGUAAAGCGCGCGCAGGCGGUCUUUUAAGUCUGAUGUGAAAGCCCACGGCUCAACCGUGGAGGGUCAUUGGAAACUGGGGGACUUGAGUGCAGAAGAGGAAAGUGGAAUUCCAAGUGUAGCGGUGAAAUGCGUAGAGAUUUGGAGGAACACCAGUGGCGAAGGCGACUUUCUGGUCUGUAACUGACGCUGAGGCGCGAAAGCGUGGGGAGCAAACAGGG